rnacentral:rRNA from 1 species
AGUGAACGCUGGCGGUAUGCCUAACACAUGCAAGUCGAACGGCAGCACAGUAAGAGCUUGCUCUUACGGUUGGCGAGUGGCGGACGGGUGAGGAAUACAUCGGAAUCUACUUUUUCGUGGGGGAUAACGUAGGGAAACUUACGCUAAUACCGCAUACAACCUACGGGUGAAAUCAAUGGAUCUUCGGACCUUGCGCGAUUGAAUUAGCCGAUGUCGGAUUAGCUAGUUGGCGGGGUAAAGGCCCACCAAGGCGACGAUCCGUAGCUGGUCUGAGAGGAUGAUAAGCCACACUGGAACUGAGACACGGUCCAGACUCCUACGGGAGGCAGCAGUGGGGAAUAUUGGACAAUGGGCGCAAGCCUGAUCCAGCCAUACCGCGUGGGUGAAGAAGGCCUUCGGGUUGUAAAGCCCUUUUGUUGGGAAAGAAAAGCAGCAGGUUAAUACCCCGCUGUUCUGACGGUACCCAAAGAAUAAGCACCGGCUAACUUCGUG